rnacentral:rRNA from 1 species
AUGAAAUGGGAUCAAAUCAGUUCUGUCUUUACUCAUGAUCAGAAAGAGUGCCAAUGGCAAGGCGGAUUCGAGAACCCUAUAAACAUGGCGCACAAUUUUGAAAAGAAUGGCUCCACCAUGCAUAAGAUGACACUCCUGAUGGUGCUCCAGACAAUAAGCAAGCAGAUGACAUGGUCUCAGGGGUUGUACCUGAUGACUUGCUAUACUUUCAGAGGUUUUUCAGAACCACAAUAUUGGAGAAAAAUUAUAUGGGUCCGCUAUGGCGCGGCCUUUCUAGUGUACCAACUUUUUUGUAACUCUAGUGUACCCUUUAACCUGGUAUAUCUACAACUCUGA